UUCUGGCUCAGGACGAACGCUGGCGGCGUGCUUCAUACAUGCAAGUCGAACGAUAAGGCACCUUCGGGUGUACAUAAGUGGCGGACGGGUGAGUAAUAUGUAGAGAAUCUGCCCUAGAGCGGGGACAACCGUUGGAAACGACAGCUAAUACCCCAUAUGAGCGUAGUUGAAAUACUAUUCUUGAAAACUCCGGUGCUCUGGGAUGAGUCUGCAUCUGAUUAGCUAGUUGGGGGUGUAAUGGACCACCAAGGCGAUGAUCAGUAGCUGGUUUGAGAGGAUGAUCAGCCACAAUGGGACUGAGACACGGCCCAUACUCCUACGGGAGGCAGCAGUAGGGAAUUUUACGCAAUGGGGGAAACCCUGAACCGCAGCAACGCCGCGUGACCGAUGAAGCCCUUCGGGGUGUAAAGGUCUGUCAGUGGGGACGAAUUCUGACGGUACCCACAGAGGAAGCACCGGCUAACUCCGUGCCAGCCGCUGC
rnacentral:rRNA from 1 species